UCCAUUCCCUUGACUCUCUUAGGACCCCUAGGGCAUGGAAUGGAUAUCUGACAGGGCCGACAAGCCAAGGGAACUGCGAAAACCCUUCCUAAGGCCAAGGAUCCCGAGUAUGGGAGAGCAGGGGUCAGCAGACAUAAGUCCCAGACAUCAGGACUCCUGCUCAUGUUAAGGAAAUGGUGCCCAAAUGGUCCCUAAGAGACCUUGUCAUUACACCCCACCCUGGGCUCUAAGGUGUUACAGACACAGUGAGAUUGGGGAAAAAUAUAUGAAAAGAGAAAAUAUGGGUACCCAUGGAUAUGAAUUGAGAGUGAAUAGGAAUCCUGGGGAGGAGAGGAAAGGUGACCUCCAGAGGGCCUUCAGAAACAUCUGACUGACUUGGGAGGUACAGAGGUCGGCCAGACAAAGGCAGGACAGCCUGAGAACCUGGAGUCCUGAGGAAAAUCUCAUGGAAAAUGGUGUUGGGAUAUCUGGAUGUGUCUCCUCAGAGGGUUCUCAACAGAGUCAUUCAGUAUCCAUGAAGAAGAUAAGAGAGAGAUUGGACGAUUCCUCCCUCACAUGAAUACACAAAAGAAACUUUUGAGUAGUCCUGGGAAUCCUGGGGAGGAGAGGAAAGGUGACCUCCAGAGGGCCUUCAGAAACAUCUGACUGACUUGGGAGGUUCAGAGGUCAGGCAGACAAAGGCAGGACAGCCUGAGAACCUGGAGUCCUGAGGAAAAUCUCAUGGAAAAUGGUGUUGGGAUAUCUGGAUGUGUCUCCUCAGAGGAAUCCUGGGGAGGAGAUGAAAGGUGACCUCCAGAGGGCCUUCAGAAACAUCUGACUGACUUGGGAGGUUCAGAGGUCGGCCAGACAAAGGCAGAAUUCCUGAGGAACAUCUCAUGGAAAACGAUGGGGGAAUAUUUGGACAUAGCUCCUCACAGGUUCUCAGGAGUGCCUUUAGAAACAUCUGAUUGACUUAGAAGAGGAAAGAUCCGGCAGACAAAGGCAGAACAGGCUGAGAAGCUUAACUCCUAAGGAAAAUCCCAUGGAAAGAGAUGCUGGAAUAUUUGGACAUAUCUCCUCAUAGCUCUGCUUUCCUGAUGUCUACCUGAAGACUCCAAGACCUGAGAGUGGAUAUUUGAGAGGCGAGAGAGACCAGAAGACCAGCCCAAAGCGCUCCUGAGGCUCAGGCUCCUGAACAUGGGACACAAGGGGUCUCCAGGGGAUCCCAGGACUCUUUUCCAUGAAGGUUCCUCAGAGAACUCCUGAUCUAGUGAGAGAAAAGUGUGCCUUGAACAUGCCCAAUGUGGUAGUGGUGACAAAGCCUUGGACAAAGGAGGUAAGCCUUGGAGAGACAGGGAUCAAGAACUGCUUGGUGGGAGGCACCUAGCUGGCACAGUUUAUAAAGCACCGGCCCUGGAUUCAGGAGGUCCUGAGUUCAAAUCCGGCCUCAGACACUUGACA